rnacentral:ncRNA from 1 species
UCGGGCAUCAUUGCAGUCGCCCGACGACCUCAGGCAUUUCGCCCAAGUACUGC